rnacentral:piRNA from 1 species
UGAGGAUCGAAAAGUGUUAUUUCUGCUC